CUACGGGAUGCACCAGUGGGGAAUAUUGCACAAUGGGGGAAACCCUGAUGCAGCCAUGCCGCGUGUAUGAAGAAGGCCUUCGGGUUGUAAAGUACUUUCAGCAGUGAGGAAGGGUGAUAAAUUAAUACUUUAUCAUUUUGACGUUAGCUGCAGAAGAAGCACCGGCAAACUCCGUGCCAGCAGCCGCGGUAAUACGGAGGGUGCGAGCGUUAAUCGGAAUUACUGGGCGUAAAGCGCAUGCAGGUGGUCUGUUAGGUCAGAUGUGAAAGCCCGGGGCUUAACCUCGGAAUCGCAUUUGAAACUGGCAGGCUAGAGUACUGUAGAGGGGGGUAGAAUUUCAGGUGUAGCGGUGAAAUGCGUAGAGAUCUGAAGGAAUACCGGUGGCGAAGGCGGCCCCCUGGACAGAUACUGACACUCAGAUGCGAAAGCGUGGGGAGCAAGCAGGAUUAGAUACCCCCGUAGUC
rnacentral:rRNA from 1 species